GAUUUAUGUCGGUGGGGAGGGCCACAAAGUGGGAAAUUCGUCGAAUGUGCAAUCGAUGAACGUGUGUGGCAACCUUGGUGACCUCCAGCUCUCCGUGUCAGCGAAUGCGGAGGGUCGACGAGACACAGCACCCAACCCGUAGAAUUGCCUAUAUGGCACCCUAUAGGGGAUGUUGGUUGGUUGCAAUCCGUUAAUGCUUCUCAGAGAUUCGCCGGGCUGAGACCACCGUACA
rnacentral:misc_RNA from 1 species